rnacentral:rRNA from 1 species
UACGGAGGGUGCAAGCGUUAUCCGGAUUCACUGGAUUUAAAGGGUGCGUAGGCGGACAGGUAAGUCAGUGGUGAAAUCUCUGGGCUUAACCCAGAAACUGCCGUUGAUACUAUUUGUCUUGAAUAUCCUGGAGGUAGGCGGAAUAUGUCAUGUAGCGGUGAAAUGCUUAGAUAUGACAUAGAACACCGAUAGCGAAGGCAGCUUACUACAGGAUGAUUGACGCUGAGGCACGAAAGCGUGGGGAGCAAACAGG